rnacentral:rRNA from 1 species
UACGGGGGGUGCGAGCGUUAAUCGGAAUAACUGGGCGUAAAGGGCGCGCAGGCGGACUUUUCAGUGAGGUGUGAAAUCCCCGGGCUUAACCUGGGAAUUGCAUUUCAGACUGGGAGUCUAGAGUACUUUAGGGGGGGGUGGAAUUCCACGUGUAGCGGUGAAAUGCGUAGAGAUGUGGAGGAAUACCGAAGGCGAAGGCAGCCCCUUGGGACUGUACUGACGCUCAUGUGCGAAAGCGUGGGGAGCAAACAGG